UGCUUAAGUGUUUCAGAUUCCUCUGAAACCCAGACUUACAGGAAGGACCCACAUGUGGAUAAGUGAGAACUGAGAGGAACAUGCUGGGAACUGAAACUUGGGUACCAGUUUGUCUCUAAAGGAAGAACAGACAUGCGCUUUGCACCCAAAAUCCAUGUCUUUUCUGUGAUCACAAGACGGUGGUGGCAGACACCUUUAAUCCCAGCACUCAGGAGGUAGAGGCCUGUGGAUCUCUGUGAGUUCGAGGCCAGAGCGGGUUCCUGGACAGCUAGGACUACACACAGAGAAACCCUGUCUUGAAAAACAAACAAACAAAAACAAAAAACAAGCAAACGAAAGAAGUCAUAGGAGAACUCCACGCUGGGCAUCAGGAGCCCAGGGUUCUGCCCUUCACAGCUACCAUUCUUUGGAAAGAACCUCUACCCAACUGAGGUUGGCGGAUAAAUCAUGGUGCAGAAGUUAGGUCCUCAGAGUUUCCCCCUAACCAUUUGAUCUACUUGUUGUCUGGUCCCCACACCCUCACUCCCCCCCCCCCCAAUCCCAUCCCUGGUUCUAAUGCUUCAUAAUUCUUGUCACUAUUUUAUCUUUCUGGAUGCUUAUUUAUCAUUUCCCCAUGGCUAAGCUGCAUUACAGCAGGAUUCUUGACUGUCUCUUUUGGUACAUGUUCCAGUGCCAAGAACCAUACUUGCACAGAGGAGCCCCUCAGUAACAUAUGCUGGAGUGAGGGGUAAGAGGAAUGAACGGGGUGAACGGGGCAAAGACUUCCAUCCAAGCUAGGCAGUUCACCCUGUCCCUAAGCUCCAUUAAUCUUUCACUCAGAGACUUGACAUGGAAUGUUCAGUGUAAUGGAAGAAGUGCCGUGAGCUCUGCUAAUGGUCCUGGGAAGUGAAGACUGUGAGUAAUUAAGACUGUCAGCUGAGGUAACUGUAGUCUCAUUGGUACAUCACCAGUUAAUUAUUCCCUCCUUUAUGCUUCCCCAGCAUUUCUGGUCAUUAAAGGUCUUACAGGUUGGGCCAGGGCAUGGUGGCACAUGCCUGUAAUCGCAGCACUUGGGACGAUGAGGAGUUCAAGGUCAUGUUGGAUACAUAGGGAACUUGAGCCUAGUCUGAGAUACAUGAGACCCAGUUUAAAAAACCAAAGAAGACUUUAUGUGUUGCAUUAGAUGUUCAUAUUAGAUGGCUGGCCUUUCUUCAGUGAAAUGAAGGGAAGGGCGUUGUGCAAUAUUAUUUUAAGAUGUGUUACAUUUGUUUAUGCUGUGGGACAUUUGUGUAAUGAUGCAAAGAUGUGUUGCAUUCUUUUAUGUUGCAUUUGUUUAAGUCUGUGAAGCUGUGUUACUUUACCUGCCUAAAACACCUUAUUGGUCCAAUAAAGAGCUGAGUGGCAAUAGUAAGGCAGGAGAUAGGAUAGGUGGGGCUGGUAGGCAGAGAGAAUAAGUAGAAGGAGAAAAAGAGGGAUCGGGAAGCAAGAGAGAUCAAGGAGCAAGAAAACAAGGAGAGGAGGACUCUAGGGACCAGCCACACAGCCACACAGCCAGCCAUGGAGUAAGAGUAAAAGUAAGAUAUGUAGAAGUAAGAAAAGGAAAAAGGCCAGAGGCAAAAGGUAGAUGGGAUAAUUUAAGAAAAGUUGACUAGAAAUAAGCCAAGCUAAGGCUAGGCAUUUAUAAAUAAGAACAAGCCUCCGUGUAUUUGUUUGGGAGCUGGGUGGUGCCCUCCCCACUCCCUCAUCCCCCCCUGCUAAAGACCAAAGAGUCAAAGAGCAAAGAGUAAAAACAACCAACAACAGAAGAGACCACAUUUAUUGACCACUUACUUAAUCUAAGCAAGACCUUGAGAGCAAGGUGAAUUUAAUCCAUUUAACAUUGGUCCCUGUAGUGGGUAGCCAUUCCAGCUUUGAUCUGGAAGUUCCAACCCCCAUUGAGACUUCAGCAACUGUCACGCCUACAAGGCGGGGCCAAGAGAGGCGCCUGGAGACUGGAGAUCUGGAUCGGCGGGCUCGCUCUCGGUUCGGGACCCUGGACGGGAGAGGUGGGCCAAGCAGAGCUCCAGAGAACACCGCUGGACUGCGAUACACCUUCCCCAGAUCCCGCGGCCUACCUAUCCCUUAAUUUGUAAGUUACGCCAUUAAAUAAAUCUCCUUUUAACUACGUGGAGUGGCCUUAAUAAUUUCACCAAUAGUCAUGGGACUCAAAAGUUUGUGGACAGAUGUUCUUGUUCUCCAAAAAAGAUAGGCAAGAAUUGCCAUUGAGAGGACUAAGAGGUAAGGUCUCAUCAGGGUAUGUCAUGGGACUGUAUAGACCAUGGGUUGGGGUAGGGGUACAAAGAAGUUGAGCAACACUUCCAGGAAGUGAUGGGAGCCCUUAAAGUAAGCAGAACAAUGAAUAUGUCUAGGUGACAGUUGGCUCUAAUAACCUGGGCCCACCUCUAAUAACAUCUGCAGCUGCCAUAUGGUGCCCUCUGUCCCCCUCAUACACACAUCUCUUUGCCUGGAGUUUCUCCAAGGCAGUAGAAUCUUGCCCCACCUAGAAGUACCCAACAACUCUAGGACAGUCCCCCAAUCCAUAAGGGGAUAAAGGCCUCUGUUCUCCAAUGGAGCAGAGGUGUAAACUGCUCUCAAGAUUAUUCCUCAGGGGGUCAUCAUGGGACUGAAUCCAUGCAGUAACUGCAUUAACCCAUUCCUUUAUUAUUCACCUUUCUUUCUCACUUUCUCCUUUGUUCUUCCUGGGAUCACCUCCCAGAUAAAGUAACCACACCUAACUCCUUGUCUCCAGGUUUGCUUCUGGGAAAGCUCAGUUCAGAACAGCAUUCAUCUAUGUAUACAUGGAUACUGACUGGCUGGAUACUCCCUGUGCACCUGAGCCAAGACAACAUGAACAGGCCUCAUAGUAAUUCUAGAAAGUUCUGCAUCAUCAGAUGAAAUGGUAUAUGUUCAGAACAGAAAUCAAUAAGACUAAAACUCUUUUGUAUUAUUUUAUAGUUAAGGAAACUGAGGUACCUGAACGUUGAAAAACUUGCCCAAAGCCAAGAAUUUAGUGAAUGGAAGAGCUUUGGACUCCAGACUCUUUGCUACCCUAUACUGCCUUUCAUGAUGGUUGAAGCUGUGGGUAUGAACUGUAGCUGAAUUUCCUUAAAGAGUGGGAAGAGGGACACAGAAAAGGACCAGGAGUCAAGGGAAGAAAUUACUCCCAAAGAGAGGUGAUGGCCAACACUCACAAACAUCCCAGAAAAUUCAGUUCAGUGAGGAUCGGAAGCGCUGGGUCUCUCAUCCUUGGAGCUGCUGGACCAGUUCAUUCCUUAUUGAAAGGGGGCUUCUUACGGAUUGUAGAAUGUUGAACAACAUUCCUGGCUGCAACUUACUGGAUGUUAGCAACAAAACCCAGUCAGAAGAACCAAAACUAUCACUAGUUGCCCAAUGUCUCCUGGCAGCAAAAGUGCCUCCCAGACAGAAGCCCUAAUCCAUUAUCUUAAUUUUUUUCCCCUCAGAUAACCUUCAAGUUAUUAUAAAGUGAACAAUAUGGAGUCAGUAAGGUGUUUGCUACUCAAACACAAGGACCUGAGUUUAAUCUCCAGCACCCAUGUAAAAAGCCUUGCAACUCAUCAAGAGCUGAGGAGGCAGAGACAGGAAGAUCCGUGGCUAGUAGUCUAGUGACCUCUAGGUUCAGUGAGAGAGCCCGUAUUAACAACGACAAUAGUGAUGAUGAUGUGGAGAGAGAGACUGACAGACAUUUGAUGUCAACCUCUGGUUUACACACACACACACACACACACACACACACACACACACACACACAAGCACACACACAGAGACAGAGAGGGAGAGACAGAGACAGAGAGAGAGAGAGACAGAGAGAACACUUACUCCUAUUACUCUACAGGCUGAGGCAGGAAGCCAACUUGAACUACAUAGAAGACCUUGUCUUAGACAACAACAACAACAGAUGUGGUAGCACAUACCUAUAAUCCCAGCACUUGAGAGGUGAAGACAGACAGAUCAGGAGUUCAACAUCAUCCUGGGCUACAUAUGGACUUCUAGCCUAGGCUACCUGAGAACUGUCUCAGAAGACUCCCCCUCCAUCCCUCCAAAAAAAUGAACCUUUGGAUAGAAGCAUCUGUUUCCAGUUCAAAUUCUGACUUUAUCAUCUUCUGGGCUCAUGACCUAACAAGUCUUUUUUUAUUCCCUUCUCUGGGCUUACCUUUUGUGGUUUUGUUUUUAUUUGUAAAACGAAGUUUUUGAGAAUGAAAUAAACAAUCUAUGUAAGUA